rnacentral:rRNA from 1 species
CAGCAGCCACGGGAAUACGUAGGUGGCAAGCGUUGUCCGGAAUUAUUGGGCGUAAAGCGCGCGCAGGCGGCCUAUCCAGUCUGUCUUAAAAGUUCGGGGCUCAACCCCGUGAUGGGAUGGAAACUAGUAGGCUAGAGUAUCGGAGAGGAAAGCGGAAUUCCUAGUGUAGCGGUGAAAUGCGUAGAUAUUAGGAAGAACACCAGUGGCGAAGGCGGCUUUCUGGACGAAAACUGACGCUGAGGCGCGAAAGCUAGGGGAGCGAACGGGAUUAGAUACCCGUGUAGUCCCUGUCUCUUAUACC